rnacentral:rRNA from 1 species
CCUACGGGAGGCAGCAGUGAGGAAUAUUGGUCAAUGGGCGGGAGCCUGAACCAGCCAAGCCGCAUGAGGGAAGAAGGUACAGCGUAUCGUAAACCUCUUUUGUCAGGGAACAAAGGCGGGGACUAGUCCCCGGAUGAGGGUACCUGAAGAAAAAGCAUCGGCUAACUCCGUGCCAGCAGCCGCGGUAAU